GGAUUACAAAAAUUAUUUC
rnacentral:snRNA from 1 species